UACGAAGGGUGCAAGCGUUAUUCGGAAUUACUGGGCGUAAAGCGUGCGCAGGCGGUUUGUUAAGCCAGAUGUGAAAGCCCCGGGCUCAACCUGGGAACUGCGUUUGGUACUGGCAAGCUAGAGUACGGCAGAGGGGGGUGGAAUUCCACGUGUAGCAGUGAAAUGCGUAGAGAUGUGGAGGAACACCGAUGGCGAAGGCAGCCCCCUGGGCCGAUACUGACGCUCAGGCACGAAAGCGUGGGGAGCAAACAGG
rnacentral:rRNA from 1 species